GGAUCUCAAAGAACCGGAUACAUAUAUCGAUUAGGAAAAUAUUUUAUUUCUGGAGCGUCCAUUUGAAAGACUUGAAUGAACGGGUUGAGGAGACCCCAGAGAGAUGAUUGACAGCCGAAGCCGAGACUUAACACAACUGUGAAUCAAUAACUAGGUGCUACUCUAAAAGCCAAUAGGCUUUUGGGUUCUUGGUGCUGAAGACAGAAGAGUCGGACAGUACAGAUAUUCUCAGUGUUGGAGUGAGGCCCUCUCUGUGCUGCAGUGGAGGGCUUCACAGACAUAGCUAGUCUGGCUGGAUGCAUCACGCAGUAGAGCAGUUUGGUGGGCGUGGCACACGGGAUUCCUUCCCUCUGGACGGACUCAACCGGG